GCGGCUGCUUCAGCCACAGUGGGAGAGGCUCAGACAGCAUUUUCUUCCCAAGAUACAGGCUGUUUUUGAAUGUGUGUGUGUGUGUGUGUGUGUGUGUGUGUGUGUGUGUGUGUGUGUGUGUGUGUGUGUGUGUGUGUGUGUGUGUGUCUCGCCAGCCUUCCCAUCACCAAACAGUCACUAAAAAGGCUGUUGUUAUUUUUUCUUGUGUUUUCAACCAUGCUCUGCUGGACAAAAGGCCAUGGGAUGUGGAAGCCAAACGAGGACAGGUGGACUUGUGAUGGCUGGACUUGUGACACCAAAGGGAGAACUGAGAGCGUCUGGAGAAAUGCAAAGUCCUCUCUGCAGACACGAGACACCACGACGGGCCUGACUGCACUGCUCUGGAAUGUGGGUUUCUGUUUUUCUGUGCACUCUCCUGCACACGGCAAAACCCCUCUACCUGCUCUUCGUCAAACCCUGACACAGAUCUACCCGAACAUAAUGCACGGACACAUACAGUAUGAACACUUCACCGCACAGCACUGCACGGCGAGGGAAAGGCGGAGGAUGAGUGAGGAUGGAGAGCCACUGGUCGACCAUUGGAUGGUUGGCGCUCAGGGAGGAUCUCGUCAUCUCUCUCUGGAACUGAGUGGACCAGCCGCUCGCAUCCCGUGGAAGACUCCGAUAGGCAUGAGCUUCUCUGCCCUGCGGAGGAACAGAAGGUGUUGGAGAGAUUAACAUCACUGUUUGAGUAUGACACAGAAACUAUUGUCAGGAGAAGAUUGACUCACACUUACAUUGAUCAUACCACUGCUGCAACAAAGAAAUGACUAAGUGCAUAAUCGCCUUUUGGAAAAAAUCCUUUAUCAGCAAUUUCAAAGACUGAUCCAUCCUCUGUAUUUUUGGCCUGACAGUUUUUUGGAUUAGCGCUGUCUAUCCCAGCUAUGUGACAGAUGCUUUGUGGUGGAUGUUGGUUAGUUUGUCUUGGAGCGGUGCCACACACCGAUACUGCGUUGUUAAUACAAGGCUCACUCCAUUCCACCCUCACCCCUAACCCCUCCCCACAGCUAAACCUGAGCCUCUAAUAAGAGGCCUUUUAUAAUGAGACAGACACAGCUGAGCUCUUACAUUACACAAAAAGCACCUUCUAAAAGGCUCCAGCCAAGGUAGUGUCAAACACCAGCUGACUUAUUAUAAUGGCCAUAAGCACAAAAACACACACAAGUACACUCGAUUACACUCCAGGCCUGAUGGCCUUGGCUUUGAAAUCACGGUGAUUAAAGGUCAAGGUGGCUAAAGAUGUGUGAAUAUAAAUAAAAGCAAAUGAAUACUUAAAAUCACAGCAGAGACAUUCACUAAGACAAACAAAGAAUAAGAAUCAUUUAAUGUUUGAUGAGUUAUGAAAAAGAAGCUAAAGAGUGAGACAGACAGGAGUUUAGAUUUCUUGAAUGUUAUAUCGGUUAUAUCUACACGUUACUCAAAGGGGUUUCAUAGUUUUACAAAGAGGUUGGUUCAAGAUUGUGAAUCCAGAUAGAGGUGAAACUUAGGCG